rnacentral:rRNA from 1 species
CAGGCUGCAACCCGCCUGCAUGAAGUCGGAAUUGCUAGUAAUCGCGGAUCAGCAUGCCGCGGUGAAUACGUUCCCGGGCCUUGUACACACCGCCCGUCACACCAUGAGAGCCGGUAAUACCCGAAGUCCGCAGCCUAACCGCAAGGGGGCGCGGCCGAAGGUAGGACUGGUAAUUAGGGUGAAGUCGUAACAAGGUAAC